rnacentral:tRNA from 1 species
GUCCCCGUAGUUCAAUGGAUAGAAUGGAGGUUUCCUAAACCUUAGAUGCAAGUUCAAUUCUUGCCGGGGAUACCA